rnacentral:misc_RNA from 1 species
AUUUGUAUCUCCUUUUAUAAAUUCUAUUUCAAAAUCAAAAAUACUUAAAAUUGCUUGCCAUCGUGCAAAAAUUUGUUUUGAUGCAAGAUUUUGAACAUCUUUUUGCAAAACUUCUUUGGCUGAUUUGCAAUCAAUUCUAAGUAAAAAUUUUUGAUUUAAUAAAUCACUUUGAAAUUUUUGUAUGCACAUGACAAUUGCAAGAAUCUCUUUUUUGAUGGUAGAGUAUUUCUUUUGACAAUCAUUCCAAUGUGCAGAAUGGAAUUGAAUUAUUUGUUCUUUUCCAUUUUGAAUUUGUUUUAAAAUUCCUUCAUAACCGAACUCUGAGGCAUCUGUUUUGACUACUUUAGGGGCUAAUAGGUCUGCUAAAUGCAGAUUAGGAAUGGUCUGAACCUAUUGUUUGAUAUGACGAACCACUUCAGUAUGAUGCUCUGUCCAUUGAACAGAGUUUUUCUUUAACCUAUCAUGCAAAGGUUUUGCUAGACGGUUAAUACUUGGACAAAAAUCUAAGACGUAAUCCAGACUGCCUAAGAAUCUUUGGAGCUGAUUUAUCCAAGAUUUUGUCAGGGAAUUUAUUUGCAAAUUCUAGACUCCUCUCUAUUGGAGUAAUGGUUCCU